rnacentral:rRNA from 1 species
UAAUACGGAGGGUGCAAGCGUUAUCCGGAUUCACUGGGUUUAAAGGGUGCGUAGGAGGGCAGGUAAGUCAGUGGUGAAAUCUCCGGGCUUAACUCGGAAACUGCCGUUGAUACUAUCUGCCUUGAAUACCGUGGAGGUGAGCGGAAUAUGUCAUGUAGCGGUGAAAUGCUUAGAUAUGACAUAGAACACCAAUUGCGAAGGCAGCUCACUACACGAAUAUUGACUCUGAGGCACGAAAGCGUGGGGAUCAAACAGGAUUAGAUACCCUGGUAGUCCACGCCCUAAACGAUGGAUACUCGACAUACGCGAUACACAGUGUGUGUCUGAGCGAAAGCAUUAAGUAUCCCACCUGGGAAGUACGACCGCAAGGUU